rnacentral:tRNA from 1 species
AAUUAGAAAGCGAAAAUUUGCAUUUAGUUUCGACCUAAAUCUUGGUAAUUAAAUACCUCUAAUUUC